GAAUGGAAGCUGCAGUUCCUCCAACCAACUCAAACACGUUGGAGCUCCCUGUUCCUGGCUGUGGAGAGAGUUGUACGCAUUCAGAAAGAGCAAGGAGAGGCAGCAAUUCAGAAUGUCUGCACAGCACUGAAGAUAAAGAUGUUUAAUCCUGCUGAAUUUGAAUUUUUGGCUGAGUACACUGCUGUCAUGAAACCUGUUGCCAUGGCCCUCAACAUCCUUCAAGGGGAAACGUCUGUGCACAUGGGAUUUUUGCUGCCAACACUUUACCAGUUGCAGGAGAAGCUAAUAAGGCUGGAGUUAUCCUGCAAAGUCUGAAGAUCUCUAGUAGAUGCCCUGCUCAAUGGGAUUCAGAAACGUUUUGGAGGCGCCAUGGAGGACCCUGAGCUGAUUGCAGCAGCAAUACUCUUACCUCUUAUACUCUUAAGAUUUCGAACAUUGUGGACAACAAAGGAGUGCAUCUUAAAAGCUGGACUUGACUUCAUUAGAAAUCACCUAGACACAGACUCCGAUGAUGGCAGCACAAACAGCAGUCGCUAUGAUGAAGAUGACUUCUUUGCAUCCAUGAAAUCAGGAAAACCACAAGCAGGAGAGCUGGAGAGGUACCUUUCAUGUCCAUCCUCUGAAGGUAUGGAUCUACUGCACACCUUUCCUCACAUCAAGAAGCUCUCACUGAAACUCAACACUGGUCUUCCUGC